AGGAGUCUUGUAUAUAUACACUCACUUCUCUCUUCAAUGGCCUCUUUAUUUCUCUCCAUUGUUGAGCUACUGAGAGCUCAAUUCAUCAUUUCUGAUAUGGUAUAGAUUCUAAAUUGGAGAUUUCACCUUCGUUAGUCUUCAAUCCUUCUCAGUUUUUGCUACUUUUUCGCAAAUUAAUGCUCUUCGCAAUAUCAAACUUUGAUGUUCAAUUCUCCCAUUUUUCUUCUCUGAAAUUAUUGUUGUUGUUGAUAUUAUUAGUGAAAUCUUCUAUGUCAAUUUGAUUACCAAUGAAAUCUCAGUUGAAUUAUGCUUUUCAUGGCUGAAAAUGGAGAAAACAAUCUUCCUUAGAGUGACGUCAAUUCGUUGAAAUCUAUCGAUGAUCAUGAUUCUGCAAAUUCUCUCUAUAUGCAUCUUUUUUAUAAUCCCAAUGCGAUACUCGUCCCUAUUUCUUUCAGUGGAAUAGGAUAUCGAUCCUAAAAGUAUAGUAAUUUUCAAGCUCUCUCCGUACAAAAUAAGUUAAGAUUUAUCAAUGGUGAUCAUCCUCAACCAGCUCUCAAUUUUUCGCUCUAUAGGCAAUGAAAAUGAUGUGAUGAUAUGGUAAUGUUAUGAAUUUUGAACUCUCUCACAAAAGAAAUCGAUGAUAAUGUGGAAUAUGCGAAUAGUGCUGAGAAUUGUGAAAUGAAUUGGAGGAUUGUUAUAAUCAAACCAACGGUGCGAAGCUUUAUCUGAUUUAGAAGAAAAUAAGUGAUCUCUCAUAAGAACUUCUCAAUCUCAUAGGUUACUACACAAAGUUGAAAAAAAACUUAAGGAAGAAUUGACUACUCUGCAUCCGAAGACACAAUGCAGUUGUAACUGCACUUAUGGAGCUAAGGAAAAUCUACACAAAGCAGAGCAGGAUCGGAGAUUAAUUCGAUUUCUCAUGGGACUUAACGAGGUCUAUACAGAUGAUGAGAAGAAGUAUAAUAUCCUGUCUUCUAUGGUACACUCUUUCAUAUUAUUGAUCCAAGAAGAAAAAUAAAGAGAGAUGAGGCCUUCAAAUCAUUUGAUUGUUGGAUCCAUUGCUCUCAAUGCUGGAAUUCAAAAAUUUUUAAAGGCAAUUUCUCAGAUGCUCAAGUUCUUGUCUAUUGUAGGCCCCUUUAAUGAAGAAAACUCUGGAGAUUGAUGAAGUGAAAGAUGGAUUGUAUCUCUUAUGCACAUACUUUCUGAAGAAAACUUAGCCUGUUAUAUCUUAUUUUCCUACUGUUUUUCCUAAAGCCAAUACCUUGUCAUUUGAUCCGCAUGUAUGUGAUGUUUCAAGUUCUUGUGUUCU